rnacentral:rRNA from 1 species
UCCUGCCCGGUGACCUACGGGUUUAACGGCCGCGGUACCCUGACCGUGCUAAGGUAGCGUGAUAAUUCGCCCUUUAAUUGUGGGCUUGUAUGAAUGGACAAACGAGGGCCAAGCUGUCUCUUUUGCAAACAUAAAAAUUGGCCUUCAGGUGAAAAGACCUGGAUCUGCCCAAAGGACAAGAAGACCCCGUAGAGCUUUGUUCUCAAUUAAUAUAAAGAAAAGUAUUAUAUUUUUUCUUUAUAACUAAAAAAAGAACUCAGCUGGGGCGGCUGAGGAAAAUGAAAUCUUCCAUCUAAAUCAGACCUUUAAAUAGCGCAAAAAGGCUUCAUGCCAAAUCUUAAAUUGACCCCCUAAGGAUCAAAGAAAAUAGCUACCUCGGGGAUAACAGAUUAAUCCUUCUUGAGAGUCCGCAUUGACAGAAGGGCUUGACACCUCGAUGUUGGCUUAGGAUACCCAGGAGGUUGCAGAAGCUUCCAAAGGUAGGUUUGUUCAACCUUUAAAAUCCCU